rnacentral:misc_RNA from 1 species
UCUGUAAACGACGCCAUUGUUGUUUAGCAUCACUGUAACGCUUCAAAGUUCUUCUAAUAACUUGCGAUUUGUUACUCACUUCUCACAAGCUCAGCACCAUGUUUACGAGUGUUGCAAGCGUUUAUCAUCAAGCUCCCAACUGCUGAAGUCAAUUCCCAGCCUGUAACCCAGACCCCCUCCCCAAACCCUGCCCUUCGCUCUCUAUAUGGCUCCUCCAUGAACCUGGAUGAAGACAUACCCGAGAUAGACUUGGGAGAUCCCACUGGGCCAUUUGCAGUACAGCAUGUCAGCUCUGAGACUUAUGUGGUUAUUGACAUGAAUGAUAUUGGAGAAACAAGCCUACCACAGUCACUUGAGACAACAUGCUGCCCCAGUGUAUUCAGCUUCAUCAAGAGACUGUUCACUCUGUACUAAAAAAGACAUUUGAUCUGGCGCAAUAUUAGUUGGAACUUUUACAGCAUUUAUGAAACUGCAUAUUUUUGUAAACUAUUCUAAAAGAACAACAUAAUCUCAUUCAGACAAUUUGAUGUAUGUACCUUUUGUACACAGCAAAAUGUAAAUACUUCUAUCACUUAAUAUGAUUUGAAACUCUAAAUUGUGUUACU